CAUAUACUCCCUCCGUCCGGAAAUACUUGUCAUCAAAAUGAAUAAAAGAGGAUGUAUCUAGAUGUAUUUUAGUUCUAGAUACAUCUUUUUUUGUCCAUUUUGAUGACAAGUAUUUUUGGACGGAGGGAGUAUAUG
rnacentral:pre_miRNA from 1 species